rnacentral:rRNA from 1 species
GAUGAACGCUAGCGACAGGCUUAACACAUACAAGUCGAGGGGCAGCGGGGGCGAAAGCUUGCUUUCGCCUGCCGGCGACCGGCGCACGGGUGAGUAACACGUAUGCAACCUGCCCGCAGCAGGGGGAUAAGCCGGAGAAAUCCGGUCUAAUACCGCGUAAAACCCCGAGGGGACAUCCCCAUGGGGUCAAAGGAGCAAUCCGGCUGCGGAUGGGCAUGCGUCGCAUUAGGCAGUUGGCGGGGUAACGGCCCACCAAACCGACGAUGCGUAGGGGUUCUGAGAGGAAGGUCCCCCACACUGGUACUGAGACACGGACCAGACUCCUACGGGAGGCAGCAGUGAGGAAUAUUGGUCAAUGGGCGGAAGCCUGAACCAGCCAAGUCGCGUGAGGGAAGACGGUCCUAUGGAAUUGGUAAAACCCUCUUUUUGCCGGGGGAGCAAGCCGGGUCUGCGGACCCGCGUUGAGAGUACCCGGAGAAAAAGCAAUCGGCUAACUCCGUG